rnacentral:rRNA from 1 species
GACGUAGGGUGCAAGCGUUGUCCGGAUUUACUGGGCGUAAAGAGCGCGUAGGCGGCUCGUUAAGUGUGAAGUGAAAUCUCCAGGGCUCAACCCGGAAACCGCUUUACAUACUGGCGAGCUUGAGGAAUGCAGAGGUUAGUGGAAUUCCUGGUGUAGCGGUGAAAUGCAUAGAUAUGUCACAGAACACCGAUUGCGAAGGCAGCUUACUAUGGUUUCAUUGACACUGAGGCACGAAAGCGUGGGGAUCAAACAGG